GUGGGGUGACGGCGUGCCUAUCGAAAAAUGAGUCUGCGAGUCAGUGGCAUGUGGCGAGCAUAAGCCGUGUGGCGUAUGCGUAGCGAAGGCGAGUCUUAAAAGGCGUUUGAGUCGCGUGUCCUGGACCCGAAGCGGGAUGAUCUAGCCCUGAGCAGGUUGAAGCGCGGGUAAGACCGCGUGGAGGACCGAACCCACCUGGGUUGAAAACCGGGGGGAUGACUUGGGGCUAGGGGUGAAAGGCCAAUCAAAUUCCGUGAUAGCUGGUUCUCUCCGAAAUGCAUUUAGGUGCAGCGUCGGAUCGAUUACAUCCGGGGGGUAGAGCGACUGGAUGCUUGCGGGCCCAUAUCGGGUACCAACAGCAACCAAACUCCGAAUACCCGUGAUGCGUAUCCCGGCAGUGAGUCGGCGGGGGAUAAGCUCCGUCGUCGAAAGGGAAACAGCCCAGAUCGUCGUCUAAGGUCCCCAAGCGUGUGCUAAGUGGGAAAGGAUGUGGAGUCGCAUAGACAGCCAGGAGGUUGGCUCAGAAGCAGCCACCCUUGAAAGAGUGCGUAACAGCUCACUGGUCUAGUGGUUCCGCGCCGACAAUGUAGCGGGGCUCAAGCACACCACCGAAGACGCGGCAGUAGCUUUGCUACUGGGUAGGAGAGCGUCCCGUGCGGGGCGAAGCGGCGGCGCAAGCCCGCCGUGGACCGCAUGGGAGUGAGAAUGCAGACAUGAGUAGCGAAAGACGGGUGAAGAUCCCGUCCGCUGGACGACCAAGGGUUCCAGGGCCACGUUCAUCGUCCCUGGGUGAGUCGGGUCCUAAGGCGAGGCCGACAGGCGUAGUCGAAUGGAUGAACGGGUCGAUAUUCCCGUACCGGCUUUCAGCCGCCAAAACCGAGGCUUGGAGUACUAACCUCCGGGUCCGGGCUUACUGCUCCUUCGGGGGCGGGAUGCCCUGGCCUGUUGGGACCGAUCCUUGUAGUAGGUCAGCGCAGGAGUGACGCAGAAGGGUAGCCGGCCGCGGAGGUGGUCUUCCGUGGUCAAGCACGCAGGGCGUGGGACAGGCAAAUCCGUCCCGCAUGGGUCCGAGGUGCGAUGAUGGGGGCCUUAUGGCCCGAUAUCCGGUGAUCCCGGCUGCCGAGAAAAGCUUCGGCGUCAGGCUCGAAGCCGCCCGUACCCCAAACCGACACUGGUGGUCAGGUAGAGAAUACCAAAGCGAUCGAGCGAAUCCUGGUCAAGGAACUCGGCAAAUCACUCCCGUUCCUUCGGUUUAAGGGAGACCCCCGAUGGUGAACACACUUGCUGUGGGAGCUUUUGGGGGUGGCACAGACCAGGGGGUAGCGACUGUUUACCAAAAACACAGGUGCAUGCGAAGGCGCAAGCCGCUGUAUAUGCACUGACGCCUGCCCGGUGCCGGAAGGUUAAGAGGAUCCGUCAGCCUUCGGGUGAAGCGGUGAAUUCAAGCCCCGGUAAACGGCGGUGGUAACUAUAACCAUCCUAAGGUAGCGAAAUUCCUUGUCGGGUAAGUUCCGACCUGCACGAAUGGCGUAA
rnacentral:rRNA from 1 species